UGUUGCAAUGGGCUUGCAUUCUGAUGCAUGGGCUGCAAAUCUCCAGCACAACCCAUUGCCAUUGCAAUGCACAGCAGCAGUGCAGGAGCUGCAAAGUAGCUGCGUUGCAACCCUCGAGGUGUGCGGUGCUCACGUUGCAAUGCACGUGUUGCAACGAGGUUGCAUUCCUAUGCACGGGCUGCAAAUCCCAGUAUGACCCCAUUGCCCCCCCAUUCUAAUCCCAGUUUAAUCCCAGUAUAACCCCAUUAUAACCCCAUUACAAUCCCAUUGCCGCCUCAUUCUAAUCCCAGUAUAACCCCAUUAUACUCCCAGUAUGAUCCCAAUAGAACCCCAUUCUAAUCCCAGUAUAACCCCAUUGCCCCCAUUGGAAUCCCAUUACCACCCCAUUCUAAUCCCAGUAUGAUCCCAGUACAACCCCAUUAUAACCCCAUUAUAAUCCCAUUGCCCCCCAUUCUAACCCCAUUAGAACCCCAUUCUAAUCCCAUUUUAACCCCAUUGCCCCCAUUGUAAUCCCAUUCUCACCCCAUUCUAAUCCCAGUUUAAUCCCAGUAUAACCCCACUAUAACCCCAGUAUAACCCCAUUCUAAUCCCAGUAUAACCCCAUUAUAACCCCAUUCUAAUCCCAGUAUGAUCCCAGUACAACCCCAUUAUAACCCCAUUCUAAUCCCAGUAUAACCCCAUUCUAAUCCCAGUAUGAUCCCAAUGGAACCCCAUUAUAACCCCAUUAUAACCCCAUUGCCCCCCCACUGUAAUCCCAAUAGAACCCCAUUACAACCCCAUUAUAAUCCCAGUGCCCCCCUAUUUAAUCCCAAUACAGCCCCUUAUAACCCCAUUACAAUCCCAUUGCCCCCCCCCCCAUUUAAUCCCAAUACAACCCAUUAUAACACCACUGUAAUCCCAUUGCCCCCCCAAUACAACCCCAUUAUAACCCCAUUACCCCCCCAAUUUAAUCCCAAUAGAACCCCAUUAUAACUCCAUUGCCCCCCAAUUUAAUCCCAAUACAACCCCCUUAUAACCCCAUUAUAAUCCCAUUUCCCCCCCAAUUUAAUCCCAAUACAACCCCAUGCCCCCCCAGCCCCCCCAUUCUAAUCCCAAUACAACCCCAUUAUAACCCCAUUACCCCCCAAAUUUAAUCCCAAAACAACCCCUUAUAACCCCAUUGCCCCCCCAAUUUAAUCCCAAUACAACCCCAUUAUAACCCCAUAUAUAAUCCCAGUGCCCCCCCCAUUGUAAUCCCAAUAGAACCCCAUUAUAACCCCAUUGCCCCCCCAGUGCCCCCCCAUUGUAAUCCCAAUAGAAGCCCAUUAUAACCCCAGUGCCCUCCCCAUUCUAAUCCCAAUAGAACCCCCUUAUAACCCCAUU
rnacentral:lncRNA from 7 species